CCAGAGAAUUUAGCAGAGAUGCUUUAGUGCCUUCGGGAACUCUGAGACAGGUGCUGCAUGGCUGUCGUCAGCUCGUGUUGUGAAAUGUUGGGUUAAGUCCCGCAACGAGCGCAACCCUUAUCCUUUGUUGCCAGCACGUAAUGGUGGGAACUCAAAGGAGACUGCCGGUGAUAAACCGGAGGAAGGUGGGGAUGACGUCAAGUCAUCAUGGCCCUUACGAGUAGGGCUACACACGUGCUACAAUGGCGCAUACAAAGAGAAGCGACCUCGCGAGAGCAAGCGGACCUCAUAAAGUGCGUCGUAGUCCGGAUUGGAGUCUGCAACUCGACUCCAUGAAGUCGGAAUCGCUAGUAAUCGUAAAUCAGAAUGUUACGGUGAAUACGUUCCCGGGCCUUGUACACACCGCCCGUCACACCAUGGGAGUGGGUUGCAAAAGAAGUAGAUAGCUUAACCUUCAGGAGGGCGUUUACCACUUUGUGAUUCAUGACUGGGGUGAAGUCGUAACAAGGUAAGCGUAGUGCU
rnacentral:rRNA from 1 species